rnacentral:lncRNA from 1 species
GUGCUCAGUGUUCGCUACUCUAGGGAGUUUCCUUGAUGAAUAUCUGUGUGACAGUUACAUGGAAUAGUUCUUUGUGGUCAGGUUUAUCUCUGGAAAGUGUUACGAGUGAUGACCAGCAUGUUCGAGCAGUUUUUAUUGCUGUACUGUGUGCGAUGUCUUGGAUACACCAGCGCCGAUCAAGGGACAGCAAUUUUCUCAGCUCUAAUUAUUCCAUUUGGAGGUGGUGUACGAGGAUAUGAGCAUACUCAUUCUACGUCUCGAGAUAUGUUCUAACACUUGCUACAAGCGUUCAAAUAAAUGCUGUUAAAUUUCA